rnacentral:rRNA from 1 species
GAUGAACGCUGGCGGCGUGCCUAAUACAUGCAAGUCGAGCGAACGGACGAGAAGCUUGCUUCUCUGAUGUUAGCGGCGGACGGGUGAGUAACACGUGGAUAACCUACCUAUAAGACUGGGUUAACUUCGGGAAACCGGAGCUAAUACCGGAUGAUAUUUUGAACCGCAUGGUUCAAAAGUGAAAGACGGUCUUGCUGUCACUUAUAGAUGGAUCCGCGCUGCAUUAGCUAGUUGGUAAGGUAACGGCUUACCAAGGCAACGAUGCAUAGCCGACCUGAGAGGGUGAUCAGCCACACUGGAACUGAGACACGGUCCAGACUCCUACGGGAGGCAGCAGUAGGGAAUCUUCCGCAAUGGGCGAAAGCCUGACGGAGCAACGCCGCGUGAGUGAUGAAGGUCUUCGGAUCGUAAAACUCUGUUAUUAGGGAAGAACAUAUGUGUAAGUAACUGUGCACAUCUUGACGGUACCUAAUCAGAAAGCCACGGCUAACUACGUG